ACGGGAGGCAGCAGUGAGGAAUAUUGGUCAAUGGAGGCAACUCUGAACCAGCCAUCUCGCGUGAAGGAAUACGGCCCUACGGGUCUUAAACUUCUUUUAUAGGGGGAUAAAGUGAGCCACGAGUGGCUUUUUGUAGGUACCCUAUGAAUAAGCAUCGGCUAACUCCGUGCCAGCAGCCGCGGUAAUACGGAGGAUGCGAGCGUUAUCCGGAUUUACUGGGUGUAAAGGGCGUGUAGGCGGGACAUCAAGUCAGAUGUGAAAGCACGAGGCUCAACUUCGUGUCUGCAUUUGAAACUGACGUUCUUGAGUGUUGGAGAGGCUAACGGAACUCCUAGUGUAGCGGUGAAAUGCGUAGAUAUUAGGAAGAACACCAGUGGCGAAGGCGGUUAGCUGGACAAUAACUGACGCUGAGGCGCGAAAGCGUGGGUAGCAAACAGGAUUAGAUACCCUGGUA
rnacentral:rRNA from 1 species